rnacentral:tRNA from 2 species
GGAGAGGUGACCGAGAGGCCGAAGGUGCACGAUUGGAAAUCGUGUGUGCAGCAAUGUACCGGGGGUUCGAAUCCCCCCUUCUCCG